rnacentral:rRNA from 1 species
GACAGAGGGUGCAAACGUUGUUCGGAAUUACUGGGCGUAAAGCGCGUGUAGGCUGUUCCGCAAGUCGGAUGUGAAAGCCCUGGGCUCAACCUAGGAAGUGCACUCGAAACUGCGGAACUGGAGUCCUGGAGAGGAAGGCGGAAUUCUCGGUGUAGAGGUGAAAUUCGUAGAUAUCGAGAGGAACACCGGUGGCGAAGGCGGCCUUCUGGACAGUGACUGACGCUGAGACGCGAAAGCGUGGGGAGCGAACAGG